rnacentral:tRNA from 1 species
UCUCCAGUGGCGCAGUUGGUUAGCGCAUGGUACUUAUAUGUCAGUAAUUUCAUUGUGCUAAGCAUCGAGUGAUUCGUGAAGUAAUGCCGAGGUCGCGAGUUCGAGCCUCGCCUGGAGAA